GACGAACGCUGGCGGCGUGCUUAACACAUGCAAGUCGAGCGAUGAAGCUCCUUCGGGAGUGGAUUAGCGGCGGACGGGUGAGUAACACGUGGGUAACCUGCCUCAUAGAGGGGAAUAGCCUUUCGAAAGGAAGAUUAAUACCGCAUAAGAUUGUAGUACCGCAUGGUACAGCAAUUAAAGGAGUAAUCCGCUAUGAAAUGGACCAGCGUCGCGUUAGCUUGUUGGUGAGGUAACGGCUCACCAAGGCGACGAUGCGUAGCCGACCUGAGAGGGUGAUCGGCCACGUUGGGACUGAGGCACGGCCCAGACUCCUACGGGAGGCAGCAGUGAGGAGUAUUGCACAAUGGGGGAAACCCUGAUGCAGCGACGCCGCGUGAGUGAUGACGGUCUUCUGAUUGUAAAGCUCUGUCUUUAGGGACGAUAAUGACGGUACCUAAGGAGGAAGCCACGGCUAACUACGUGCCAGCCGCCGCAGUAA
rnacentral:rRNA from 1 species